rnacentral:rRNA from 1 species
CCGCAAGGCUGAAACUCAAAGGAAUUGACCGGGGGCCCGCACAAGCGGUGGAGCAUGUGGUUUUAUUCGAAGCAACGCGAAGAACCUUACCAGGUCUUGACAUCCUUUGACAACCCUAGAGAUAGGGCUUCUCCUUCGGGAGCAGAGUGACAGGUGGUGCAUGGUUGUUGUCAGCUCGUGUCGUGAGAUGUUGGGUUAAGUCCCGCAACGAGCGCAACCCUUGAUUUUAGUUGCCAUCAUUUAGUUGGGCACUCUAAGGUGACUGCCGGUGACAAACCGGAGGAAGGUGGGGAUGACGUCAAAUCAUCAUGCCCCUUAUGACCUGGGCUACACACGUGCUACAAUGGACGGUACAAAGAGCUGCAAGACCGCGAGGUGGAGCUAAUCUCAUAAAACCGUUCUCAGUUCGGAUUGUAGGCUGCAACUCGCCUACAUGAAGCUGGAAUCGCUAGUAAUCGCGGAUCAGCAUGCCGCGGUGAAUACGUUCCCGGGCCUUGUACACACCGCCCGUCACACCACGAGAGUUUGUAACACCCGAAGUCGGUGGGGUAACCUUUUGGAGCCAGCCGCCUAA